AUGAUUCUUCGCGACCAAGAUGGCUCCAUCAUUUUUGCAUCUUGUAGGUUCCUUACGACAUGCAUGAGUGCCCUUGAAGCCGAAGUAGCUGCUUGCAUGGAAGGAAUUUCCCUCACGCUAGCACAGACUACACUGCCGUUUAUCCUGGAGACUGACUGUCUUACUGCAGCAAACAUGAUCAGAGAUGUUGACACCAAUAGAUCCCCAGUGGCUGCCCUCAUCGGUGAAAUCAAGCAUCUCCUGGCACUUGGACGUGAACAUGUGAUAGCACAUGUGAGUAGAAACAAGAAUAAAACUAGUCAUGCACUUGCCCAGAUGGGUAUUUCUGAACUCCGUACAGCCGUUUGGCUUCAUCAUGGACCUGAUGAAAUUGGCGCCAUAUGCCAUCAGGAUUGUAAUAAUCUUCCUUGA
rnacentral:rRNA from 1 species